rnacentral:rRNA from 1 species
GUAUUCCGCUCCAUAGCGUAUAUUAAAGUUGUUGCAGUUAAAAAGCUCGUAGUUGAAUUUCGGGAUUAAUUUAUUGGUCGUGCAAUAGUACGUACUGGUAUUAUUGAUUCCUACCUUCUGACGAACCAUGAUGUCAUUAAUUUGGUGUCAUGGGGAAUCAGGACUGUUACUUUGAAAAAAUUAGAGUGUUUAAAGCAGGCUCACGCUUGAAUACAUUAGCAUGGAAUAACGAAAUAGGACGUUUGAUUCUAUUUUGUUGGUUUCUAGGAUCGACGUAAUGAUUAAUAGGGAUAGUUGGGGGCAUUAGUAUUCAAUUGUCAGAGGUGAAAUUCUUGGAUUUAUUGAAGACUAACUACUGCGAAAGCAUUUGCCAAGGAUGUUUUCAUUAAUCAAGAACGAAAGUUAGGGGAUCGAAGACGAUCAGAUACCGUCGUAGUCUUAACCAUAAACUAUGCCGACUAGGGAUCGGAUGAUGUUAAUUUUUUAAUGACUCAUUCGGCACCUUACGGGAAACA